AAAGUCUAUGAACAUCUCUUUAUGAGUGGAGGACUAUUUUAGGUUUCUUUGAAUUCAGUUGGGAGAAAAAAAGGGAAAGGAUAUAGAGGACAAAAGAUUAAGAGAGUAGAGGGGGAUAAUAAAAAUUGAAGAGAGAGAAAGAGGAGAGCGGCAAGAGGGUACUGUGCAAUCCUAUUUGGAGGAGCAUUGUUUGUUUUUUUUCCCUCCUCUUUGUUUCUUUGAUGUUAUUUUCAAUUGAAA
rnacentral:misc_RNA from 1 species